rnacentral:rRNA from 1 species
UACGAAGGGGGCUAGCGUUGUUCGGAAUCACUGGGCUUAAAGCGUGUGUAGGCGGAUCGUUAAGUGUCUUGUGAAAUCCCACGGCUCACCCGUGGAACUGCUGGGCAUACUGGCGAUCUUGGGCCAACUAGGGGCAACUGGAACAAGCGGUGGAGCGGUGAAAUGCGUAGAUAUCGCUUGGAACGCCAAAGGUGAAAACAGGUUGCUGGGGUUGUGCCGACGCUGAGACACGAAAGCCAGGGGAGCAAACGGG